rnacentral:rRNA from 1 species
UACAGAGGUCUCAAGCGUUGUUCGGAUUCAUUGGGCGUAAAGGGUGCGUAGGCGGCGCGGUAAGUCGGGUGUGAAAUCUCGGAGCUUAACUUCGAAACUGCAUUCGAUACUGCCGUGCUUGAGGACUGGAGAGGAGACUGGAAUUUACGGUGUAGCGGUGAAAUGCGUAGAUAUCAGGAAGAACACCAAUGGCGAAAGCAGCUCUCUGGGACGGUACUGACGCUGAGACGCGAAAGCGUGGGGAGCGAACAGG